rnacentral:lncRNA from 1 species
CAGAAGGAUUCGGCAAGGGAAUACAUUAAAUACAGGACGUAUAACUUAUGAGGUUAUUAUUGUUGUUUUUUUGGUUCCGGAUAUCGAACUCGGGCCCUUUCGCUUGUGAGGCAGGCAAUAGAACCACUGAGCUAAAUCCCUGGCCCUUUAUGAGGUUAUUUUAUGAUAAUUACCCAAAGAGUCAAAUGCAAAGGAGUGCAAGAGAUCAACUGCACACUUGAAGCUCAAAGGAUUCAGCUGAGGGCCUAGAUCCCAGCAGUUUCCCACACAAGUCCAGCUGAAGGCUUGGAGUCCAGCCAGUGGCAAUGUCGCAUGCUUGUCCGUAUGGAGGAUCUGCACCUGGAAGGCCCAAAGGCCAGUGGUAGAAGCCAGAAAAUCUAUGCUGGUGAGAUGAAGGAUUUGUGCCACCAAGGUGAGGGAUCCACACUGGAGCCAGGAAGUGAUGCUCAUGGUGAAGAUCAGAGCUCCCCUGAUGAAAACAACAGCCAUUCCCAGCAACAGCGAGUUCCCAAGCUCCUCCUCUGAUGAGAACAUCCUAGUCUGCAUAGGAAAAACCAUCCGCAGCAAACUUCUCCUAGCAAAUCAACAGGCCAAGACCUUCCCCUUCAGUUCUCUUUUUACAGCUAUUGGUAACAAUCUUCAGGUGGAUCCUCCACACCCAGACCGUGCUGAUUCAGUUCAGCUGGGCGUUACAAGUUGACCAUUAGUCAAUCCACCACAGUGGGUUCAAAUCCUCUUGUCACUUCCAGCUGUGUGACCUUGGCAAGAGACUUAACCUCUGUGUUGCACUUCCCUUAUGUGUAAAAUGGAAAUACUGACAGAGAGGUCUUGAGGGAUAAAUCACAGAAGUGGUGGGCCAGGGAUUUAGCUCAGUGGUUCCACUACCUGCCUCACAAGCAAAAGGUCACGAGUUCAAUCCCUAGUACAAAAAAAAAAGAAAAUAGUGCCUAGGAGUGGGAGUUCCCAGUGUGCUGGUCCUAUUACUGCCCACUGCAAGUCCCUCUCUGCCACCGAGCCAGCCAGGGAGCACGGAUGAUGACUCCUCUGAGCCGACUCUCUCCGUGGCUCUGGGUUCUGCAGGCCCCGUGGGAGUGCACCAGAGAGAAGUCCCCCAGAAGACCGGAACCCUGCCCAACAGGAUGCAGCUCUGGAAGAUAGAGAAGUUGAGGGGCUCACCGGAACUCGGGCCUCCCGCCCACGAGACCAAAGGAGAUGAAGUCAGGCUGCCUGUUGGCCAGGUUGGUGCGGCUCCCUGGGCCCCGCUUCUGCCCAUUGUACAGCAGCAUCCCUGGGUGGGCACAGCUCAGUGAGAGCCCCCCUCCAGCCACAGGCUCCCUGUUACCCCCACCCUUUGAAUGAGUCAGGCUCUUGAGUCUUU